AGAGAGAGACAUGCGCGCAUAUCAAUAAGCGGAGGAAAAGAAACUAACAAGGAUUCCCUUAGUAGCGGCGAGUGAAGCGGGAAGAGCUCAAAUUUGAAAUCUUCAAGGUUUUACCUUGACGAAUUGUAGUUUAAAGAAGUGUUUUCUGCUGAAGUUUUGGUAAAAGUUCUUUGGAAUAGGACAUCAUAGAGGGUGAGAAUCCCGUAUUUGACCAUUAUUUUCAGCUUUGUGAUACACUUUCAAAGAGUCGGAUUGUUUGGGAAUGCAGUCCAAAAUGGGUGGUAAAUUUCAUCUAAAGCUAAAUAUUGGCGAGAGACCGAUAGCGAACAAGUACCGUGAGGGAAAGAUGAAAAGAACUUUGAAAAGAGAGUUAAACAGUACGUGAAAUUGUCAAAAGGGAAGCGUUUGACACCAGUGUUGUUUUCUCGAAAAUCAAUUAAAAAUGGCUCGAUUUUGUAUUGCUGAGACCUUAAAAGCUCACUGUACAUUUUUCGUGUCUUUUUUAAUGCACUUUUCGUUUAACAAGUCAACAUCAGUUUCUUUUGUUGUAAAAGGGUCAUUGGAAGGUGGCUUUCUUUUCGGAGAAAGUGUUUAUAGCCUUUGACUUCUGCAAUUCGAAGAGAUUGAGGUCUGCAGCGUAGAUCCUUCGGGGUUAGAUACAUUUGUGCUAAGUUAUAGCUUUUUAUAGACAACUUGUUGACUAUAAUUAGUCUUGUAGCUUACUCGCUUAUGCUAUUUUACCUACGCUUAGGAUGUUGAAGUCAUCGUAUCGCGC
rnacentral:rRNA from 1 species